AAUGUCGAAAAGCCCAAAUCAAAAUCAUUCGCUUCGUAAACCUAAUUUCAAAUCUUCCCCUUUCCUCCGUCGGCGAUUUUUCUCUCCGGUGCCUUCGUCUUGUACCCGUUGAACGUUUGCCGUUAGCGCCUACCUCGGAUACAAGUGUAAAGCGAUUCAACCGUUGAUUGUCAUGUUUGAGUAAUACUGAAGAGAUUUUGCGAUGUCUGCAUCUGCUAAAAGAAGUUCUACAGAUACUCAAGAGUAGAAAGAUCUAAUGCUCGGUAUGGUUUUUCAAGUGUUUAAGAGUUUGUUUCUAUGAUCCGAAUUCCGAAGUGACCACUCAGAUCAUAGAGCACGUUGUGAAAAAAAAAUUAUAUCCAGCUUACCUGAAUAACGAUGAUGUCAAAAACCACUUCCUUUAAGUUCCUGAAAUAAAUGUUUGUUUAGCUUUCUUAUGACUGGCACUUAAGAACAAACAAAUCCAACAAAUUUUAGUAAUCUUACAAUAAUGUUGUUGUGAAACUCUACUCUAAUUUCACUCAUUUGAAAGUUUUCUUUUGGAGUUCA